GAUGAAGAACGUAGCGAAAUGCGAUAAGUAAUGUGAAUUGCAGAAUUCAGUGAAUCAUCGAAUCUUUGAACGCACAUUGCGCCCGCCAGCAUUCUGGCGGGCAUGCCUGUUCGAGCGUCAUUUCAACCCUCAAGCUCUGCUUGGUGUUGGGGCCCUACGGUUGACGUAGGCCCUUAAAGGUAGUGGCGGACCCUCUCGGAGCCUCCUUUGCGUAGUAACUAACGUCUCGCAUUGGGAUUCGGAGGGACUCUUGCCGUAAAACCCCCAAAUUUUCUAAUGGUUGACCUCGGAUCAGGUAGGAAUACCCGCUGAACUUAAGCAUAUCAAUAAGGGAGGA
rnacentral:misc_RNA from 1 species